CCUACGGGGAGCAGCAGUGGGGAAUAUUGGGCAAUGGGCGCAAGCCUGACCCAGCAAUGCCGCGUGAAGGAAGAAGGCUUUCGGGUUGUAAACUUCUUUGACAGGGGAAGAGCAGAAGACGGUACCCUGAAAACAAGCCACGGCUAACUACGUGCCAGCAGCCGCGGUAAUACGUAGGUGGCAAGCGUUGUCCGGAUUUACUGGGUGUAAAGGGCGUGUAGCCGGGAAGGCAAGUCAGAUGUGAAAUCUGGAGGCUCAACCUCCAAAUUGCAUUUGAAACUGUUUUUCUUGAGUACUGGAGAGGCAGACGGAAUUCCUUGUGUAGCGGUGAAAUGCGUAGAUAUAAGGAGGAACACCAGUGGCGAAGGUGGUCUGCUGGACAGCAACUGACGGUGAGGCGCGAAAGCGUGGGGAGCAAACAGGAUUAGAUACCCCAGUAGUC
rnacentral:rRNA from 1 species